rnacentral:rRNA from 1 species
GAAUUAUUGGGCGUAAAGCGCGCGCAGGUGGUUCUUUAAGUUUGAUGUGAAAGCCCACGGCUCAACCGUGGAGGGUCAUUGGAAACUGGGGAACUUGAGUGCAGAAGAGGAAAGUGGAAUUCCAAGUGUAGCGGUGAAAUGCGUAGAGAUUUGGAGGAACACCAGUGGCGAAGGCGACUUUCUGGUCUGUAACUGACACUGAGGCGCGAAAGCGUGGGGAGCAAACAGGAUUAGAUACCCUGGUAGUCCACGCCGUAAACGAUGAGUGCUAAGUGUUAGAGGGUUUCCG